GAUGUUCACAAUCUAUAAGCAUCGAUUCCUGCAAUGGCUGAGCGAGAUCCAGUUCAAUAAGCACACGAAUGAAAUGGCCGACCUCUCCAUAAGCUGAUACACCAUCAAUUUUGAUUGGAAAACCAAUAAUUCUAGCGAUUGCUGUUAUUACCUCAGGAUCCCAAAACUCAUUCGGAAGGUAAUAAAUCCGAACCCAAACUUGACAAAUAGAAGAGACUUCCUUGUAGGGAUUGAAACAUGGCACCCAAUCGCGGAGGCGGAUGGAACCCGCAGCCAGAUCCCAAACAAUUUUGGUUUUCGCAAGUUUUUAUCUUCAAGAGUAGAGAAUUUCAUGGUGAAGAAACCCUUACCCAAAGUGAGAAGCUUCCACUCUGAUUGGAUACCCCACAAAUUGUUGAGUUCAAGCUUCAACUGAUGUGUCGCCUGUGGCUUGCUUCCUUUCCGUAGUAACACCCUUCCAAUAACAGAGAAUUUGAAUUCAGCAAUACGUUUUUGAUACAUC
rnacentral:lncRNA from 1 species